UUUGUACUCCCUCCGUUCGAAAUUACUUGUCGUGGAAAUGGAUGUAUCUAGACGUAUUUUAGUUCUAGAUACAUUCAUUUUCGAGAUAAGUAAUUCCGAACGGAGGGAGUACUUC
rfam:Triticum aestivum genome assembly, contig: Triticum_aestivum_CS42_TGACv1_scaffold_194276_3AL